AUUUAUUUAGUAUAUAUAGUAUAAUUAGCUUCCAACUAAAAGGAUCAAAAAGAAAUAAAUA
rnacentral:tRNA from 1 species